rnacentral:lncRNA from 1 species
CUGGAGGAGAGAGGGAUGAGGAGAGAGGAGGAGAGGGAAGGGCUGAUAACCAAGACAACGACACAAAGAUGGCGACCACUUCCACCGCGGGACGUCCACGGGAGCCCAAGGGCUGGACGGCUCAGAACCGUCGCCGUGUCUUCUGGCACCCUUAUAACAGGAUGACGACGGGUCUGACCCGCCAUCACCGACCCCAACACAUCACCGCCACGUCGUUAAAUGGCUCUUUGUGUGAGAGAAGAUAAGCCUGUUUCAGUCAGGACCCAUUUGGACGCCUAAAUCUGCCCUAGCAGCUGGAACAAAGGACCCCAGGCCAGGACACACAGAUCAAGAGUGCGUCUCAAUACUCACAACUUGGUUCCUCCUCUAAGACUCCGUGACAAAGGGUUAGUCUAGACACUCUUGACUGAAUUCCUCCUCUAUGACUCUGAGACAAAGGGUUAGUGUUAAUACUCUUUACUGGAUUCCUCCUCUGGAUUAUUUUUUGUGGGUUAAUUAUUUACAUAUAGUCCCCUAGCAGGCCUUAAUGGGUUGACGAUGAGAGUGGCUUUUCAAAAAUAACAUGUAAAUCCAUAGUAAACAUUUGCUACAGAGAA